rnacentral:rRNA from 1 species
UACGUAGGCAGCGAGCGUUGUUCGGAGUUACUGGGCGUAAAGAGUGCGUAGGCGGUUUUCUAAGUUUGGUGUGAAAUCUCCCGGCUUAACUGGGAGGGUGCGCCGAAGACUGGAAGGCUUGAGUAUGGGAGAGGUAAGCGGAAUUCCUGGUGUAGCGGUGAAAUGCGUAGAUAUGCGGAGGAACACCGAUGGCGAAGGCAAUCCCCGUGGACCUAUACUGACGCUCAUGCACGAAAGCGUGGGGAGCAAACCGG